AUUGAACGCUGGCGGCAGGCCUAACACAUGCAAGUCGAGCGGGGUUUUCGGACCUAGCGGCGGACGGGUGAGUAAUGCGUAGGAAGCUACCCGAUAGAGGGGGAUACCAGUUGGAAACGACUGUUAAUACCGCAUAAUGUCUACGGACCAAAGUGUGGGACCUUCGGGCCACAUGCUAUCGGAUGCGCCUACGUGGGAUUAGCUAGUUGGUGAGGUAAUGGCUCACCAAGGCGACGAUCCCUAGCUGGUUUGAGAGGAUGAUCAGCCACACUGGAACUGAGACACGGUCCAGACUCCUACGGGAGGCAGCAGUGGGGAAUAUUGGACAAUGGGCGCAAGCCUGAUCCAGCCAUGCCGCGUGUGUGAAGAAGGCCUUCGGGUUGUAAAGCACUUUCAGUAGGGAGGAAGGGUUAAGUGUUAAUAGUACUUAACUUUGACGUUACCUACAGAAGAAGCCCCGGCUAACUCCGUGCCAGCCGCCGCGGUAACAC
rnacentral:rRNA from 1 species